GUUGGAGCAAAACUGUACUGGCAAACAAGCUGGAGCGAGGCCCCACAGACCCGUCCAUGACCCCUCCCCGCUUCGGUUCGCUGGAAUUUCGGGAUUCUCUGGUGCCCUCUUCUCGAAGUCUAACCACAUACAUUUCAAGAACAUUACCGGCGGUGACAGUUUGGUUAGGAGGCAGACCAAUUCCACGCUUCGCUGGCCACUCAGACUCGAGAUCGUCGGACUGCAUAGAAGGAAUUUGAGGGGCAAGGUCGGCGCGGCAAUGAGUGAUGAAGCCGGUG
rnacentral:misc_RNA from 1 species